rnacentral:rRNA from 1 species
AGAGUUUGAUCCUGGCUCAGAACGAACGCUGGCGGCAGGUCUUAGGCAUGCAAGUCGAACGGGUGAAGCAGGGCUUGCCCUGUGGAGCUAGUGGCGCACGAGUGAGUAACGCGUGGGAAACUGCCCAUCACUGGGGAAUAACGUUUGGAAACGAACGCUAAUACCGCAUACGCCGGAAACGGGAAAGAUUUAUCGGUGAUGGAUGUGCCCGCGUUGGAUUAGCUUGUUGGUGGGGUAAUGGCCUACCAAGGCGAUGAUCCAUAGCUGGUCUGAGAGGACGAUCAGCCACGCUGGAACUGAGACACGGUCCAGACUCCUACGGGAGGCAGCAGCUAAGAAUAUUGGGCAAUGGAGGAAACUCUGACCCAGCCAUGCCGCGUGAAUGAAGAAGGCCUUCGGGUUGUAAAGUUCUUUUAAUCGUGAAGAUGAUGACAGUAGCGAUAGAAAAAGCACCGGCUAACUUCGUGCCAGCAGCCGCGGUAAUACGAAGGGUGCAAGCGUUGUUCGGAUUUACUGGGCGUAAAGCGUCCGUAGGUGGUUUGUUAAGUCAGAGGUGAAAUCCCAGGGCCCAACCCUGGAACUGCCUUUGAUACUGGCAGGCUGGAGCGUGAUAGAGGAAGAUGGAACAUCUGGUGUAGGGGUGAAAUCCGUAGAUAUCAGAUAGAACACCAAUGGCGAAGGCAGUCUUCUGGAUCAUUGCUGACACUGAGGGACGAAAGCGUGGGUAGCAAACAGAAUUAGAUACUCUGGUAGUCCACGCCCUAAACGAUGUGUGCUUGUUGUUGGUUCCCUUCGGGGUAUCAGUGACGUAGCUAACGCGUUAAGCACACCGCCUGGGGAGUACGAUCGCAAGAUUAAAACUUAAAGGAAUUGACGGGGACCCGCACAAGCGGUGGAGUAUGUUGUUUAAUUCGAUGCUACGCGAGAAACCUUACCGACCCUUGACAUCCCGCACGCGACUUCCAGAGAUGGUUGUCUUCUAUUCGGUAGGUGCGGAGACAGAUGCUGCAUGGCUGUCGUCAGCUCGUGUCGUGAGAUGUUGGGUUAAGUCCCGCAA